rnacentral:misc_RNA from 1 species
AGCCCAGCCAACAACAGCAGAAAGGAUAGUCAUCACAAUUAAAGCUGCUAGGCAACCUGACAAAACAAGUCUUCUUGGGUGACGCAUUGCCAAUAUCUUGAAACAAGUAACAUAAGUCAGACAAGCACAGACAAGAAGGAAAUAAUUUUUGCGCUACACAUCAAAGUAAAACUGUAAUACAAGUUCCAACAACUCAGAAAACAAUAUAAAUGGAAAAAAGGGUGAAAAUUUGAGGUGGUACUAUUGCUAACUUUUCAGAUGACCACACAAACAAACUACAAAGGACAAACAAAAAGCUUAUUGAGAAAAUAUGAAAUAUAAAAGAAUUUAAAUAGUAAAACACAAAGAAAGCACCGCUAAUCCCCACUCACAAAAAGAAAAAGGUUUCAUCAGAACAAUUCAAAUGAUAUCUCAAAAUCUUCUUUAUUGUAUCUGUAGUCAUAGUUUUCUCCUCAAGGCUGUCUCACUACAUGUGAAGACCAUAUACAUGAUCACUAGUCUUUAGUCCUUUGAUUUCUUCAACCAACAAGUGGAAUAUAUCAGUUCAAAAUAUUAGCUUUGGAGCACUCAACGAUGCAGGAAUAAUUCUUCUACAAAGGCUGUUAUUGGAUAGAAAUUCUACAUUUUUACCAUCAAAACUUUGCUCAAAAAGGUUUUGCAUUUUGAGACCCUAAAAUGUAGAACAACAGACAACUCCCAUUAGUGAUGCUUAUUGAGAUAUGUUGGCUCACUCUACAAUCAUGCCUACGAAAGAAGUCUCCCCACCUUGAGUGCAUAACUGCAACUGCCAAAAACACCCAAGUAGUUGACAAGCUAAUGUUUGACAAAAUUUAAUUGAGGAAAGGGCAUGCACGAGUGAUGGAGAUAAAAAAAAAAAAAUACAUAUGUGCGACAUUAAUUAACUUGUAAUGCAAGUUUGACAUAAAGCCCACAGAGGCAGGCAAAAACCAAAACUAACAGCAAUAUGAGUAGGCUGCUGGAAUAGCAAUAAUACUAACACAAAACCUUUCAACAUGACCAUAGCACACAGGUAGGUAGUAACUGGGGGAGACAACACCCAAUAGAAAUAGAUAGAUUAUUAAUGUAUGAGAACAGAAUCACAACACCAAAGAAAAGAUAUGAGGAUAUAUUAAACUAUAAAACAAGAAUUGAUCCCUGUCCUAGUGGACCCUGUGAAAACGCAAUCUAUCACUCAGGACGAGAACUUAACCAUUUUAGCGUAAUAUGUACUUUUUAAUACACGCCCAGAAAGUCUUAACAUGUCUCAUCUGAAUUUAGAAAAGGGGGAAAACAAUAAUUUACUGAUUGAAUUGACACAAAAUAGCAAUGAUAUAAACAAAUAAGCUCGUCAGAAACCCAACUUGGACAAUUAAUUUCUCUGCCAUACAUAGAAAAUAAAGCUGCGUAUCAUGUAUGCAGUUUAUGAUUCCCGCAUUACUCGCAGCGGCGAAAAAGGUCUUGUCGCCG